rnacentral:rRNA from 1 species
CCAGAAGAGAGAGACGGCCCAACCACAAGUUCAGCGGGCCGCAGUGGGUCUCAUAUAUGUUCGAGCCCAAGGCUGUGUGAGUACUUAGUCACACCUGUAGUUGGUGAGUAGGGUAUCCAGGGGAUCAGGACUGAACCCGGCGGCGGCAGCGUGUGUGUGUUGCGUGUGUAUCUGGAGAGCCCGUCUUCCUCCUCUAGCUGUGUACCUCCAUCGCUACAAUUCGCCUUAGAUCGAGAGUAAUAUCAGAGUGGGUUGCUAUCACGUGGUAUCAGAGGCCACACACCACCCCGCCGUCGCGCUGGAGACGCGCCAGCAAGCGAGCGCUCGCGUCCAACUUUUCGCAACCAUGGAUCCGGCUCUCAAAUCGUACCUCGACAAGUUCACGGAGACGCUUACCAAAGCCAGCGACGACACGCGUGCGGACAUCAAGGAACUCAAGGCGCAGAUUGGCGUCCAGACGGCGCAAGUGGAGGAGCUCGUGGCGUGGAAACCCGACCUCGAGGCGCGGUUCUCCAAGCUCCAGGAGGCUGUUUCGUUGUUGCAAGCGGCGCCGCCCACGUCGGCGUCCGCGAUCUCUGGUGGAUUGGCGGCACCGGACCUCCCUGAUCCGGUCGCGCGGGACGAGAUCCACGGGCCCGAUGGCCACGCGUCCUGCAACACCCACGGAGCGGGCUGUUGGGGGGAAUUCUUCCCUGACGGCCACUCCGGCCAAUGGUAUGGUCGAUUUCCGAACUCCUUUAUCUCAACACACUCACUGCUCUUCAUCCACCCCGGGGGUGGCCGCGGGCCAAAUCGUUGCAGGGAUGGGGCAGACGCCUCCAUCUCUCAAUUUUCCCCAAUUUUCGGGUGAGAACCCGAAAAUUUGGAAGACCAUGUGUGAACAGUAUUUCUCCAUGUGCCAAAUCCAUGCAUCUUAUUUUGUCCCUAUGUCCACAUUGCAUUUUUCCGGCGCGGCAGCGAUUUGGCUCCAGUCUGUGCAGUCAAAAAUAGGACCCCUCGAUUGGGAGGCCUUUUGUGACCUCCUGUGCACCCGUUUCGGUCGCGAUCGGCACCAAUUGCUGAUCCGACAGUUCUAUGCACUCAAGCAAACAUCUUCUGUAUCAGAAUAUAUUGAGCAAUUUGAAAUUCUGAUGAACCAUUUGAUAUCAUACUCUGACGCUACUCAUCCUCUGUACUUCCCGACGAGGUUCGUGGAGGGGCUCCGUAGUGACAUCCGUGCGGUGGUCAUGGUGCAAAGGCCAACGGAUCUGGACACAGCAUGCGCUCUAGCAAUUUUACAGGAAGAGGUGUCUGACGGGCAGCGGCACAAGCGCAUGGAGCAGUCAGACUUCUCACCUUAUGCUGUGCGUGCUCGGCCAUCUAACCCAUCUCUGCUACCAGCACCUACAUCCAGAUCAACUGCUCCAUCACCUGUAGCUGAUGAUCGUCGGGGUACAGAAAGCACGAGAGCUACUAAUGAUGCAGCAAAAGUGGCAGCACUCCGCAAUUACCGUCGUGCCAAGGGGCUUUGUUUCAAGUGUGGAGAGCGUUGGGGGCACGAUCAUGUCUGUCCCCCAACAGUUAAGCUGCAUGUGAUUGAGGAGCUGAUCGACAUGUUUACCAGUGAUACAAAUGUCUUAUCUGAGGAUACUGCAACAAUGGAAAUGGAUACUACACAACCAGAGCAAGUGUGGCACUUGUCCGUUCAUGCAGUGGCAGGCACAGAGGCACCAAGUUGCCUUCAAAUUCAUGGCUGGCUGCAAGGACAAGAGGUGUUGAUGCUAGUGGAUUCAGGAAGCUCAGCUUCAUUUGUCUCUCAACACUUGCUUCCCAUACUUCAGGGAGUGCAGGACAUGCCAAGAACUAUCAAAGUUUAUGUUGCCAAUGGGGCAGAACUGCAGUGUACUCAGGAGGUGCUCAACUGUCAGUGGUACACGCAAGGGCAAACAUUCUCCACCAAUUUCAAGGUUUUACCUCUGGGAUCUUAUGAUGUGAUCUUAGGCAUGGACUGGCUUGAGUACCACAGUCCUAUGUUGAUUGAUUGGCCAUGUAGGUGCAUGCAAAUUGAAAAUUGUGGCUACACCAUAGUGUUGCAAGGAGUGGCUGCUAAGAAUCGGUCUUGUGCUCUACUGUCCUGCACACAACUCGGCAGUAUUAACAAAAAUGCAGCAGUGGCAUAUGUAGUUCAGUUAUGCUAUUUUGAAGGGGCUGAAUCAGAGGUGACAGUGCAAGCACAUGAACUAUCACCUGACAUAGUGCAGUUACUACUGGAAUUUGAGGACAUUUUCUUGGAACCAACAGAGUUACCUCCGUCAAGAGACCGCGAUCAUAAAAUUCCCUUAAUGCAAGGAGCACAACCAGUUAACAUGCGGCAGUACAGGCACAAACCAGAAGUCAAACAGAAAUUGAACGCCAAGUGUUGGAGCUGCUCAAAGCUGGUAUUAUUCAGAAGAGCACAAGCCCAUUUUCUUCUCCUAUCAUCUUGGUGAAGAAGAAAGACGGGACGUGGCGUCUGUGCGUAGACUAUCGUCGACUCAACGCAAUGACUAUUGUGAGCCGAUAUCCAGUGCCAAUCAUUGAGGACAUCUUGGAUGAAUUAGCUGGUGCCCGUUGGUUCUCUAAGCUCGACCUCCGAGCAGGGUAUCAGCAGAUACGGCUGGCACCGGGGGAGGAGCAGAAAACGGCGUUUCAGACACAUUCUGGGUACUUUGAGUACAAGGUCGUUCCAUGUGGAUUGGCAGGGGGGCCAGCAACAUUCUUGGGAGCAAUGAACACGACCCUAUCACCAGUACUUAGGGUGUGUGCCAUGGUUUUCUUUGAUGACAUUGUUGUUUUCAGUGCAUCCUUUGCUCUGCACUUGCAACAUCUCAGGGAAGUGUUUGCUCUAUUGCGCAAAGAUCAAUGGUAUGUAAAAAGAUCCAAGUGUGAGUUUGCCAAGCAGGAGCUGAAGUACUUGGGACACACUAUUUCAGCAGCUGCAGUAUCAACUAACAGUGAUAAGAUCCAACAAGUUCAAGGAUGGCAUGUUCCCACUUCAGUCAAAGAAGUGCGUUCCUUCCUAGGGCUGGCAGGAUAUUAUAGACGGUUUGUGCGUCAAUUUGGCACUAUUGCAUGACCUCUUACAGAUUUACUUCGCAAAAGCACUCCUUUCCAAUGGACAUCCGCUACAGGAGAAGCUUUUGAAGCAUUAAAAACUGCUUUAGUAACAACACCAACACUAGCUUUACCAGAUUUUACCAAACCCUUCGUCAUUGAGACGGAUGCAUGUGAGUAUGGAGUUGGGGCAGUCUUACAGCAGGAGGGGCAUCCCAUCACAUAUUUGAGCAAAGCCUUGGGACCAAGAAUUAAAGGUCUGUCUACCUAUGAAAAAGAGUAUCUAGCAAUGGUACUUGCAGUUGAGCAAUGGAGACCGUAUUUGCAAUUCUCGGAAUUUAUCAUCAAAACGGACCAGAAGAGCUUGGUUCAUUUAGAGGAACAACGUUUGCAUACACCAUGGCAACAAAAGGCCUUCACAAAAUUACUUGGUCUGCAAUAUCGUAUAUGCUGUGGCAAGGGGACGGAAAACGAUGCCGCAGACGCACUGUCCAGACGCCCAUUGGGAGCAUCUCAACAGGCCAAUGCCAUUUCUGUGUGUCAGCCGGCUUGGCUACAAGAAGUAACACAAGGGUAUGCACAGGACCCUAAAGCUCAGCAAUUAAUCACGCAACUCGUUGUGGCACCAGUGGCAGGAGGCAAGUUUACAUUUCAACAAGGGGUCAUCCGUUUCCGAGGGCGCGUGUGGCUUGGCAACAAUGUGAAACUCCAAAAUCAGAUUAUGCGUGCCCUACACGACAGUGCAAUUGGCGGCCACUCUGGGUUCCCGGCAACAUACAACAGGAUUAAGCAGCUCUUCGCGUGGCCUGGGAUGAAGUUGUAGAUCAAAACACAUGUCCAAACCUGUCAGGUAUGUCAACAAGCCAAGCCAGAUAGAUCACCCUAUCCGGGGAUGCUUCAUCCACUUCCAGUCUCCAAAAGAUGUUGGGAUUUGGUUUCUUUGGAUUUUAUUGAGGGUCUUCCACCAUCAGGCGGAGCAAACUGCAUCUUGGUCGUAGUGGAUACAUUUUCCAAGUAUGCGCAUUUUCUGCCGGUCACACAUCCAUACACUGCCACCCAGAUUGCGCAGUUGUAUAUGGACAACGUGUACAAAAUACAUGGUAUGCCAGAAGCACUAAUAUCGGACAGGGAUGCAGUGUUCACUAGUCGGGUCUGGCAAGCAAUUUUCAAGCUGUAGGGUGUUGAACUGAAGAUGAGUUCUUCCCAUCAUCCACAAACGGACGGGCAGACAGAACGGGUGAAUCAGUGCCUUGAGACAUACUUACGAUGUUUUGUUCAGAGCACUCCCAAGACUUGGAGCCGUUGGCUGGCAUUAGCUGACUUUUGGUACAACUCCGCGUAUCAUUCGACUCUGGGUAAAACACCAUUCAUGGUGGUCUAUGGUCAGGAGCCGAGGCAGUUGGGCAUUACAUCAGAGCAUGCAGCGCCACCACCAGAACUGGAACAGUGGUUAGAUGAACGACAGCAGAUGCAAGAUCUCCUUAGGCAACACCUGGUCAGGGCAAAGCAAAUUAUGAAGAGUCAAGCAGACAAGCAUCGUUCAUGGUGUGAGUUUCAAGUGGGAGACCAAGCCUUUUUGAAGUUACAACCGUACAUUCAGACAUCGGUUGCUCGGCGUGCCAACCACAAGCUUAGUUUCAAGUUCUAUGGCCCUUUCACGGUGAUCAGGCGCAUCAACGACGUCACCUACGAGCUCCAGCUGCUCGCCAAUUCAUCCAUCUUUCCGGUGUUUCAUGUGUCACAGUUGCGACACGCUCUGCUUCCAGGUGCGAGCGCUUCCUCUCAUCUCCCUGCAGUUACUGACAAUCUCAAUACUCCACUGAAGAUUUUGGACCGGCGCUGGCACCGGAACUCGCGCAAGAUAAGGGAACAAGGUCUGGUCCGUUGGCAAGACGAAGCGGCUACGCAAGAUACUUGGGAAGACGUGGAAGAUCUCAAGCGACGAUUUCCGCAGGCUCCGACUUGGGGUCAAGUCGGUUCUGAAGAAGGACGGGGUGUCAACGACCUGACGAGGGAACCAGCAGCAACCCAAGACACGGAGACGGGAAGCACACGACCCAUACGGCCCAGAAGAGAGAGACGGCCCAACCACAAGUUCAGCGGGCCGCAGUGGGUCUCAUAUAUGUUCGAGCCCAAGGCUGUGUGAGUACUUAGUCACACCUGUAGUUGGUGAGUAGGGUCCAGGGGAUCAGGACUGAACCCGGCGGCGGCGGCGUGUAUGUGUUGCGUGUGUGUCUGGAGAGCUCGUCUUCCGCCUCUAGCUGUGUACCUCCAUCGCUACAAUUCGCCUUAGAUCGAGAGUAAUAUCAGAGUGGGUUGCUAUCACCCUGGUUGCCCGCCCUCCUGUUUCGAUCUCCUGACUAUGAAAUCAUUGCUUGCAUGGUUUGUGUAAACUACGUACGUACCAUGUUAGAGUUUAUUUCUGAAAAAAUGGUAGAGCAAAGUAUUCCAAGGGGAAACGUCCCAGGAGAUAAAGAGGCAGAGCAAAGUAUUCUAUUCUACUAGUAUAAUUUGUCACUUUAGGAGUUGGUUCUCUUCUGGUUAGUGCUUCAGGCUGCUUGCAUUUCUGAUGUUGCAUUGUGUACUCCCUCCGUUCCAAAUUACUCGUCCUGGUUUUAGUUCAAAUUGGUGAUUCUGAAGAAAGUCCCUGUGGUGUUGUCUACUCCCUCCGUUCCAAAUUACUCGUCGUGGUUUUAGUUCAAAAUUUAUUGAUGUAAUUGGAGCCCAUUUUAUCUUUUGACUUCAGACUCUGUUUGGAACCUUUAUCCUGUGUCUUGAGCUGUAAUUUGUAGUUGCAUUGCUUUCUCGUUAAAGAACAAAAUCAAGCUUUGCUGCUGCAAUGGAGGCUAUGGUCGACAAGUUCUAACCAGGCUUUGCUGCUGUAGAUUCUCCUAAAUUAUGAGAUCAUAGCAGGUGUUUCCAAGUGUUGAUUAUUAUGGUCUGGUUGCAACGUACUGAACACCGGAGCCAUUCUGUAGAUGUUUUUAGGAUAGCCUUUCCGUAGUUUGGCAAAAUAUGCCACAUAGUGUAGUGAGAGCAUUCCCGCCCACGGUGAAGACAACGCUGACCACUAGU